rnacentral:lncRNA from 1 species
AGAAGUUUUUUUUAUUCGCAUUCUACACCACAUCCUCAUUUUUAUUCAGUUUUAGGAUGUGCUAAUAAGGUUCAAUCCCAUUUGGCAGUUACUGGCAACACUUUACUUUAUAGAAGUGCUGCCAGUGUAUAUAAAUAUUUGCUGUUAACAGAGUUCAUUCACUCCAAACCAGUUGGCGAACAACCAUCAAGUUCCAUUUGAUUGAACACGUUUUCGAAGCUUUCAUGCAUUGAAUGGGUGGGCCGUGUGUUCUUAGGUGAGCAGGGAGCCCUCGCCUCCGAUCCCCGCCCUGCAGAAGAGACAUGGGGGGCUGCACCAGUACACCCCCAGACCCCCGACUGUCGACAGCCAGCAUUCAACUGCCCCCCUGUCUGUUAGUUUCACACACGCACACACUCAUUUCCUCUCAUUCUUUGGGGUGUCUUCGUUCAAACCUUUCAUGUUUCUUUUCAGGAGCGCUCUUCGUCUGGUCUCCAGUCCCCUCCCGUCCCGGCUCGCAGGAACGAGCUCCGAGCUGCAGGUACCGUAUCAUCCAGCCAGUUAGAAAAUGCCACCCGAGCACAGAUGUAGCGGUCUGAACCGAACACUAAGACACUGCAGCGAGUCCAACCGCUUGGUACUGAGAGAGCGCGCGUGUGUGUGUGUGUGUGUGUGUGUGUGUGUGUUUCCAGGUGACCAGCGCGACGUGUUCAGCGAGCUGUCGGCGCUGCGUCGGCACCUUCGCAGCGAAGAGAAGCGUCUGGAGGGUCGUCUGCGGCAGGUCGACUGGGAGGAGUUAGCCUCUCCUUUGAGUGACAGACAUCAGGAGCGUCACCAGGUGGACGUGUUCGACAUGGCCAGGCUGCGGCUCCAGGCUCCGGUCCGACGGCCGAACUCCAGAAACACGGCGCCCAGGAACCUGCUGCGGACACACGACGAAGUGGGUGUGACCGGCAGCAGGAGGCGGGACUACAGGGACCAGCAGUUCAGCAGCCGCGGGUCUACAGUCCAGGACGAUUAUUUGGACCUGUCCCCGCCCCGGCAAACGGAUUAUCUGACGAGUGUGAUGGGGAGGUCUGAUAGAGGUUCUCUGCUGGAGUCAGAGAGCGCUUUCAUUGACCCUCUAGGCGAGGCCUUUCCGGUGAGGCGCACCCCAGAGCUGGAAGACGCCCCCGUGCUGUCGGCCAGGGAGAGGAGGAGGCUGUCCAAACGGCCACAGCACCCUCAGGGCCGAGACGCUUCCAGCUGGCCCUUUGGCCAACAGGACGACUACGCCGCCCUCGCUGUGGACGGACAGGAAGUGGCGCCCGGUGGCGAGAGGGGGAGCCGGGACAGGUCAGGGCGUCUGAUGUCCCUCAGUCGCCAUAGCAACGGAUCAGUGGCGCUGUCCUCCGAAGGCUCCUCCCCGCCCCGCUUCUCCCUGCACGGUCUCAGCAAUCGAGGCUCCGUGGAAACGCUCUCCACGGAUCCCUGGAUGACGGACACGCUGACACGUUUGGACCACCGGCCGUCGAGGAGGGAGCGGCUGACAACGUAGCCCCCCCAGCCCCCCCUCGAGAUGAGGAGGUGCUCUGUUCUCUGUUGAAAAGACAUCACGACUGGUUUUAACUCAUGACGCACAUCAAUAUGAAAAGUCAUACUUUUUGUUAAAUCGUUGUUUACCACAGAGAUAAUUCUCAAUAUCUGAGUGAGA